rnacentral:rRNA from 1 species
GUCGAGCGGUAGCACAGAGAGCUUGCUCUCGGGUGACGAGCGGCGGACGGGUGAGUAAUGUCUGGGAAACUGCCUGAUGGAGGGGGAUAACUACUGGAAACGGUAGCUAAUACCGCAUAACGUCGCAAGACCAAAGUGGGGGACCUUCGGGCCUCAUGCCAUCAGAUGUGCCCAGAUGGGAUUAGCUGGUAGGUGGGGUAACGGCUCACCUAGGCGACGAUCCCUAGCUGGUCUGAGAGGAUGACCAGCCACACUGGAACUGAGACACGGUCCAGACUCCUACGGGAGGCAGCAGUGGGGAAUAUUGCACAAUGGGCGCAAGCCUGAUGCAGCCAUGCCGCGUGUGUGAAGAAGGCCUUCGGGUUGUAAAGCACUUUCAGCGGGGAGGAAGGCGGUGAGGUUAAUAACCUCAUCGAUUGACGUUACCCGCAGAAAAAGCACCGGCUAACUCCGUGCCAGCAGCCGCGGUAAUACGGAGGGUGCAAGCGUUAAUCGGAAUUACUGGGCGUAAAGCGCACGCAGGCGGUCUGUCAAGUCGGAUGUGAAAUCCCCGGGCUCAACCUGGGAACUGCAUUCGAAACUGGCAGGCUAGAGUCUUGUAGAGGGGGGUAGAAUUCCAGGUGUAGCGGUGAAAUGCGUAGAGAUCUGGAGGAAUACCGGUGGCGAAGGCGGCCCCCUGGACAAAGACUGACGCUCAGGUGCGAAAGCGUGGGGAGCAAACAGGAUUAGAUACCCUGGUAGUCCACGCUGUAAACGAUGUCGAUUUGGAGGUUGUGCCCUUGAGGCGUGGCUUCCGGAGCUAACGCGUUAAAUCGACCGCCUGGGGAGUACGGCCGCAAGGUUAAAACUCAAAUGAAUUGACGGGGGCCCGCACAAGCGGUGGAGCAUGUGGUUUAAUUCGAUGCAACGCGAAGAACCUUACCUGGUCUUGACAUCCACAGAACUUUCCAGAGAUGGAUUGGUGCCUUCGGGAACUGUGAGACAGGUGCUGCAUGGCUGUCGUCAGCUCGUGUUGUGAAAUGUUGGGUUAAGUCCCGCAACGAGCGCAACCCUUAUCCUUUGUUGCCAGCGGUUAGGCCGGGAACUCAAAGGAGACUGCCAGUGAUAAACUGGAGGAAGGUGGGGAUGACGUCAAGUCAUCAUGGCCCUUACGACCAGGGCUACACACGUGCUACAAUGGCAUAUACAAAGAGAAGCGACCUCGCGAGAGCAAGCGGACCUCAUAAAGUAUGUCGUAGUCCGGAUUGGAGUCUGCAACUCGACUCCAUGAAGUCGGAAUCGCUAGUAAUCGUAGAUCAGAAUGCUACGGUGAAUACGUUCCCGGGCCUUGUACACACCGCCCGUCACACCAUGGGAGUGGGUUGCAAAAGAAGUAGGUAGCUUAACCUUCGGGAGGGCG